rnacentral:misc_RNA from 1 species
CUUCAGAUUCGGCCUCAGUCAGCCGCGCAGGGACGCGGAGCCCGGCGCCGAGCUCUGCGCUUGCGCUUGCCGGGCGGGCAUGGACGGGCGAGAGGCGUUCUGCAAGCGCGAAAUCGGUGAGCCCGGCCGCCGCGCCGCCGCCCCGCGAGCCUUUCCGAGUCCCGGAGAAUCCUGCACGCGAGAUCCCAGGGCGCCCGACCCAUGCGGGCCGUUUCGCUGUUGCUAAAAACCAACGCCCAGGGACUGGGAGAGGAACUGGGGUUCCCAAACUGUUUUUUGGAAGCAGCGAUGAACGGGAUAGUGCAUGACGUGGACGUGCUGGGCGCGGGCAUCUGGCUGGUGACCCUGCUGGUGGAUCGGGACGGGCUGUACAAGAUGAACCGCCUGUACCUCACUCACCCCCGACGUCUUCUUCUUCCGAGUCCACAUGUUAGUCCUGGACUCCUCCAGCUGCAAUAAACCGUGUCCAGAGUUUAAACCUGG